GAUGAACGCUGACAGAAUGCUUAACACAUGCAAGUCAACUUGAACUUCGGUUUGGGUGGCGGACGGGUGAGUAACGCGUAAAGAACUUGCCUCACAGCUAGGGACAACAUUUGGAAACGAAUGCUAAUACCUGAUAUUAUGAUUAUAUGGCAUCGUAUAAUUAUGAAAGCUAUAUGCGCUGUGAGAGAGCUUUGCGUCCCAUUAGCUAGUUGGAGAGGUAACAGCUCACCAAGGCGAUGAUGGGUAGCCGGCCUGAGAGGGUGAUCGGCCACAAGGGGACUGAGACACGGCCCUUACUCCUCCUGGAGGCAGCAGUGGGGAAUAUUGGACAAUGGACCGAGAGUCUGAUCCAGCAAUCCUGUGUGAACGAUGAAGUUUUUCGGAAUGUAAAGUGCUUUCAGUUGGGAAGAAAAAAUGACGGUACCAACACAAGAAGUGACGGCUAACUACGUG
rnacentral:rRNA from 1 species